AUGCAAGUCGAACGAGACUUUUCGUUGUAGCAAUACGAUGGAAAGUUUAGUGGCGAACGGGUGCUUAACACGUGGGCAACCUGCCAUGAAGUGGGGGAUAGCUCGCCGAAAGGCGAAUUAAUACCGCAUGUGAUUAGAGAGGACAUCCUUUCGAAAUUAAAGUCGGGGCAACCUGACGCUUCUUGUGGGGCCCGCGGCCUAUCAGCUAGUUGGUGAGAUAACGGCUCACCAAGGCUUUGACGGGUAGCUGGUCUGAGAGGACGACCAGCCACACUGGGACUGAGACACGGCCCAGACACCUACGGGUGGCAGCAGUCGAGAAUUUUUGACAAUGGGGGAAACCCUGAUCGAGCGACGCCGCGUGGAGGAUGAAGGUCUUCGGAUUGUAAACUCCUGUCAUUUGGGAACAAGGUGCACACGUUAACUGCGUGCGUAUUGAUAGUACCAGAAGAGGAAGAGACGGCUAACUCUGUGCCAGCAGCCGCGGUAAUACAGAGGUCUCAAGCGUUGUUCGGAUUCAUUGGGCGUAAAGCGCGCGCAGGCGGUCCUUUAAGUCUGAUGUGAAAGCCCACGGCUCAACCGUGGAGGGUCAUUGGAAACUGGGGGACUUGAGUGCAGAAGAGGAAAGCGGAAUUCCACGUGUAGCGGUGAAAUGCGUAGAGAUGUGGAGGAACACCAGUGGCGAAGGCGGCUUUCUGGUCUGUAACUGACGCUGAGGCGCGAAAGCGUGGGGAGCAAACAGGAUUAGAUACCCUGGUAGUCCACGCUGUAAACGAUGAGUGCUAAGUGUUAGGGGGUUUCCGCCCCUUAGUGCUGCAGCUAACGCAUUAAGCACUCCGCCUGGGGAGUACGGCCGCAAGGCUGAAGCUCAAAGGAAUUGACGGGGGCCCGCACAAGCGGUGGAGCAUGUGGUUUAAUUCGAAGCAACGCGAAGAACCUUACCAGGUCUUGACAUCCUCUGACAAUCCUAGAGAUAGGACGUUCCCCUUCGGGGACA
rnacentral:rRNA from 1 species